AAGGUGGUAGUGUUAAUAGCACUAUCAUUUGACGUUAGCGACAGAAGAAAGCACCGGCUAACUCCGUGCCAGCAGCCGCGGUAAUACGGAGGUGCGAGCGUUAAUCGGAAUUACUGGGCGUAAAGCGCAUGCAGGUGGUUUGUUAAGUCAGAUGUGAAAGACCCGGGGCGUCAACCUACGGAAUUGCAUUUGUAAACUAGGCAGACUAGAGUACUGUAGAGGGGGGUAGGAAUUUCAGGUGUAGCGGUGAAAUGCGUAGAGAUCUGAAGGAAUACCGGUGGCGAAGGCGGCCCCCUCGGACAGAUACUGACACUCAGAUGCGAAAGCGUGGGGAGCAAACAGGAUUAGAUACCCUGGUAG
rnacentral:rRNA from 1 species